CCUACGGGAGGCAGCAGUGAGGAAUAUUGGUCAAUGGGCGUAAGCCUGAACCAGCCAAGUCGCGUGAGGGAUGAAGGUUCUAUGGAUCGUAAACCUCUUUUAUAAGGGAAUAAAGUGUGGGACGUGUCCUAUUUUGUAUGUACCUUAUGAAUAAGGAUCGGCUAACUCCGUGCCAGCAGCCGCGGUAAUACGGCGGAUCCGAGCGUUAUCCGGAUGUAUUGGGUUUAAAGGGUGGGUAGGCGGCCUUUUAAGUCAGCGGUGAAAGUCAGUGGCUCAACCAUAGAAUUGCCGUUGAAACUGGGGGGCUUGAGUAUGUUUGAGGCAGGCGGAAUGCGUGGUGGAGCGGUGAAAUGCUUAGAUAUCACGCAGAAGCCCGAUUGCGAAGGCAGCCUGCCAAGCCAUGACUGACGCUGAGGCACGAAAGCGUGGGGAUCAAACAGGAUUAGAUACCCCAGUAGUC
rnacentral:rRNA from 1 species